UUUCUGGGAGUUGUAGGCCAAAACAACAGGCGACCCACAGUAGAGAAUCACUGAUUAAGGGGAUGCUACAGAAAACACACCCUUACUCACAAUAACCAAAAUACUGUUUCUAAUCUUCUAAAAAACUGAAUUUUUUUUAAAAUUGCUUUCCACGGGUAAUAAGAAUUUGUUAGAGGAACAUCAUAUUGGUCCACUUUUUCUGAUGGUUCAGCAACUUAUUGUGUUGUUUACUUUCUUACAGUUCUAACCUGUGAUCUCUGAACUUUAAACUGGCUAGUUCCCACUGCUAGCAGGUUAAUCAGUUCCUUUUAAAGUGUAUUUCUUAUUUGUUCCUCACAUACUUACUGAGCUGAUUUUAGGACAUGAGUGCUUUAUUCUAUUUACUGCUGGCUGUUUUCUAAUGAAAACUACUUUUCUAUGGUUGGCAAAAGCUGGGGCUAACAGCAGGCGCUCAUUCUGCUCCCGGGAUUUGAACCUGGCAUCUUUUGGUCCGCAAGUUCAGCAGCUCAGCGUUUUACCGCACUAUGCCACCAGGGGCACACUGCCUCCCGUCUCUGGAACUCUCUCCCUAGUGAGAUCAAAAUGACUUCCUCAAUACUGUCCUUUAAAAAACAACUGAAGACUUUUCUGUGCACACAGGCAUAUAGAAAGGAAGAUACUUGAAAUACUUUGCACAAAUGGACAAGAAGUGGAGUAUGGAUUUGACUUUUAAAUGUUUUUAAUCUUUUAAACCCUAAAAUUUAAAAAUCUGUUAAAUAUGAAAUGGUUAUAAUGUGAAUGUGUUUAUCUGUGUUCAACUGUCUUAUUGUCUUUCUUGCUUGCGUAAAUGUCCAAUUAAACAAUUAAAAACAGAAGGGUAUAAAAACAUCAUUUUUUUCGUGU